rnacentral:rRNA from 1 species
UACGUAGGGGGCUAGCGUUGUCCGGAUUUAUUGGGCGUAAAGAGCGUGUAGGCGGCCAUGUAGGUCCGGUGUGAAAACUCGAGGCUUAACCUCGAGAUGUCAUCGGAAACCAUUUGGCUAGAGUCCGGAAGAGGAGAGUGGAAUUCCCUGGUGUAGCGGUGAAAUGCGCAGAUAUCAGGAAGAACACCAAUGGCGAAAGCAGCUCUCUGGGACGGUACUGACGCUGAGACGCGAAAAGCGUGGGGAGCGAACAGG